GCCCACUUUAACAUCUUCCCGCGGAUAAGAAAAGCUGUUUCCUUGAGGGUGUUUUUUAACAAAAGUGAGUACCGAACUGCUCACCCCGACCUGCCCCAUAAUCAUUAGUAAACCUAACGUUAAGUAGUUAAACAGGUUCCGUGUUGGCUCUAGUGCCAUGAUCUUCGUGGCCCCACUAGACAGUCCGACAGUUCCAAAAGCAGAAGUGGUUUCAAACAGGCUGUCGACAAAGCUAAGCGGUUGUUGCAUACUUAACGGCAACAGAAUGGCAAUAAGAACCACGGACACUAAGCCAAAGACGGCUACCAAGAAGGCAUUAAUCACCGUUUGCCCGUCAAUACUACGCUUAAAGACCUUGACCUCUUUUUGACCGCGGAACUUCGCUUUUAACGUCAAAAAGAUGACCGCUAAAGUAGUAGUGCGAAUCCCUCCGGCGGUAGAAGACGGACUGCCCCCGAUAAACAUAGCAAUCACCAUAAUCCCCUUAAUGAUGUCAGACUCAGCACUUCAGGGAAACACACUAAAGCCAGCGGACCGGGACGAAAUCACCCCAAACCACAGUUGCAUCACCCGACUAGCCGCUGGUAUGGGACCAAAGAUUAAGCUUUGGAGUUCUUGAUUGGAUUUAUUUUUCAGUCCCUCCACUAAGUAGGCCUUCUCGACAUUGAGAUGGGCAAUCGUAUUGGUCAAACUAGUUAUAACAAUAAACUCCACCAUUAACAGCAUUAAAAAACACCAAGCCGUGACAAUCAGGUUAGUGAGUACCGCUAACUUCGUAAACAAACUAAACUGGUGUUUGUAAUACUUACCAUACAAUCGCCGUUUCUUAAUCGCUUCAUAAGCAUCAAAUAACACCGGAUAACCAAUGCCACCAAAGAUAAUUUGGCUAAUCGCUAACCACUGGAUCACGAUGCCCCAGUUAGUGCGAUACGGGGCAAACGAAUUAGCGCCCAACAGGUCAAUGCCAGCAUUAUUAACCGCUGACAAGGAGUGGAAAAAACCAUACUGAAAGGCUAAGUUAAGGUUAUGAACUACGGGUAAUCUUUUGGUGGAAUCGACUAUGAGGGCCUUCAAUUGGUUGGACACCUUACCACUACUUUGAAAAACACUAGCAGACUCAAACGCGGGGAUAAAAUAAAACAAAAUGGUGUACAGAAAGCCAUACAGUAACUCCACCAUAAAGAGGAAUAACACCGACACCACAAUCAUUUCACUAGUGGUCCCUAACUUGGAACCACCCCGUUCUGAUUGCAACAUUAACUUCUCAUAAAAGCUGUACUUGCCCUUCUUGUGUAACUUAAACAGUCUUCAAACAAGGAAAGCAAUCACCACAAAACCAAUGCCCCCUAACUGCAGUAAAAUGGCCAACACCGUUUGCCCAAACACACUGUAGGUUUCACUCACUACCGUAGUAGAGAGCCCCGUAUCACUAAAGGCACUGACCGCUAAAAACAAAGCAUCCAAAAAGCCAUAGGAAGCCGUUUGUUUACUGAUGGUAUGACCCUGUAAAUCCACCUCAUAGCUAAUAACCUUUUGGUAGUCGGUUUUGAGCGCAAACGGGAGGAAAAGCAGUACAGCCC
rnacentral:sRNA from 1 species